UACGUAGGGUGCAAGCGUUAAUCGGAAUUACUGGGCGUAAAGCGUGCGCAGGCGGUUCUAUAAGACAGAUGUGAAAUCCCCGGGCUCAACCUGGGAACUGCAUUUGUGACUGUAGAGCUGGAGUACGGUAGAGGGGGAUGGAGUUCCGCGUGUAGCAGUGAAAUGCGUAGAUAUGCGGAGGAACACCGAUGGCGAAGGCAAUCCCCUGGACCUGUACUGACGCUCAUGCACGAAAGCGUGGGGAGCAAACGAGG
rnacentral:rRNA from 1 species